rnacentral:rRNA from 1 species
UACGGAGGGUGCAAGCGUCAUCCGGAUUUACUGGGUUUAAAGGGUGUGUAGGCGGGCUAUUAAGUCAGUGGUGAAAUCUCCGAGCUUAACUUGGAAACUGCCAUUGAUACUAUUAGUCUUGAAUUUUGUUGAGGUUGGCGGAAUAAGUCAUGUAGCGGUGAAAUGCUUAGAUAUGACUUAGAACACCGAUUGCGAAGGCAGCUAGCUAAACAAACAUUGACGCUGAGGCACGAAAGCGUGGGGAUCAAACAGG